rnacentral:rRNA from 1 species
AUUGAACGCUAGCGGCAUGCCUAACACAUGCAAGUCGAACGAGUGGCGGACGGGUGAGUAAUGUCUGGGCAACUGCCUGAUGGAUGGGGAUAACUACUGGAAACGGUAGCUAAUACCGCAUACCAUCGGAUGUGUCCAGAUGGGAUUAGCUAGGAGGUGGGGUAAAGGCUCACCAAGACGACGAUCCCUAGCUGGUCUGAGAGGAUGACCAGCCAAACUGGAACUGAGACACGGUCCAGACUCCUACGGGAGGCAGCAGUGGGGAAUAUUGCAAAAGGGGCGAAAGCCUGAUGCAGCAAUGCCGCGUGUAUGAAGAAGGCUUUCGGGUUGUAAAGUACUUUCAGCGGAGAGGCGUUACCCGCAGAAGAAGCACCGGCUAACUCCGUGCCAGCGGCCGCGGUAAUAC